rnacentral:rRNA from 1 species
AACGAACGCUGGCGGCAGGCCUAAAACAUGCAAGUCGAACGCCCCGCAAGGGGAGUGGCGCACGGGUGAGUAACGCGUGGGAACGUGCCCUUCACUACGGGACAACGUCGGGAAACUGACGCUAAUACCGUAUAAUGACUCCGGUCCAAAGAUUUAUCGGUGAAGGAGCGGCCCGCGUCUGAUUAGCUAGUUGGUGAGGUAAAGGCUUACCAAGGCGACGAUCAGUAGCAGGUCUGAGAGGAUGAUCUGCCACACUGGGACUGAGACACGGCCCAGACUCCUACGGGAGGCAGCAGUUAGGAAUAUUGGACAAUGGGCGAAAGCCUGAUCCAGCCAUGCCGCGUGUGUGAUGAAGGCCCUAGGGUUGUAAAGCACUUUCGUUGGGGAUGAUAAUGACCGUACCCAAAGAAGAAGCACCGGCUAACUUCGUGCCAGCCGCCGCGGUAA